rnacentral:snRNA from 1 species
AUACCUUUCUCGGCCUUUUGGCUCAGAUCAUGUGUAGUAUCUGUUCUUAUUAGCUCUUUCCGUCGCACUCCUGCGACUUAUUCUAGCCCUGUACGGUCCAGCCGUACACACCAA